AAACACAAAUCGCUAUGCUAGCAUUAACAUACUGGAGACAGCUAAGGAGACGGUGUAGAGAAACAAACGUUAUGGAGCAGUCUGAAGUAUUAAGAUGUAGAAAAGGAAGGCAGCAGAAGAUUGACACCUUUUUCAAAAGAUCGCUUGAUACAGUAGUCCGUUGCCAGAGACCUUAGUUGUUUCAGAGGGAGCACACUUCACAGGAUGAAGGUGAGGAAGACAAAAAUGAUGAAAAAGCAAAAGUCAGAAGGGGGGCAAAGCAGCUAUGAAGAAUGCAGACAAGAAUAUAUUGAGGGACAGGAAAAUAAUAAAGAUGAAAUGGAAGAGGGACAAGCAGAGAACACAGAUGUGGCUGUUACUUGCUAACAGUUCAGUGAGCGCAAUCAACCAGAUCGUAAACUUAUUGUGAAACAGUGCUUAGCUAAGUUAAGAGUAUAUUUGGGUAAUCAGUUUGUCACAUGUAAGGAAAACAGAAAGAGCAUUUUUGGUUCUUUUAAUUGAACUGAGUGAAGGUUCAGAUGUUCAUAUAUCCAAUGUUAAAUGUUCAGGCCAGUUGGUUUUCAUGCCAUGUUGGCAAUACCCAACAUUUUUUGUGCAAUUGUAACCAACUGUAAAC